rnacentral:ncRNA from 1 species
AGGGUUAAAUGAGACAGUGCGAUCUAUUGUCCGCAGUGUUCUAGAUAAAAAAGCAAAAA